UGUGUAUGUGUCUUCUUAUGCUACUCAUGACCUUGAAAGCAGAAAGUUGAAGGUAUUCAGGUGUCUAGCGGGGAUUACACAGUAGGCACUCAUCCCCUCAUACAUUUCUUUAUUCUAUAAACUUGAAAGCCAGGCAUUGUUCUAGGCACUGAGGACACCGAGGUAAUAGGACACUGAUAUCCUCUUUCAUAUGCUUGUUAGGAAUUCAACACAACACGAAAUCAUCAACAAAUUCGGGGAAUGUUAAUCUGACCAUCCCCAGUUACAAAUGAUGUUUCAUGCUACCUUCUAUUCCUGCCUUCAUAAAUCAACUCUAAAUCUCCAGGAAAAAAUGCGCUCAGGAUCGCCAGAGAAAUGUCCUUCCAACUGUGCAUGGAAAGGUAUGAUUUUGUGCAGCAGGUGAAGGACUGGCUAGAGUAAGUGUGUGCUGAGCUUUUGUGUUUGAAAGCGAGCCUGUGCACUUCUAACGAUUGGAAGGUUUCCUUGCCUUCUCCGAUCUUACACACAGCAAGGACAGCAAAGCCUUCCAGACCUGCCUGUGACAUGCACUGCACAUUCUAAAGAUGCCUAUGCAAUGGAAAACACCACUGUCUGCUCCAGCACAGCUGCCAUUCUUCCAUCUUAUCGACCUUAAUGCAACAACUCGUCACAGGCAGAGAUUUUAAAAUGUGUUCUUGGCAGAAGAGAGACUCAAAGAUGGGACAAAUGGGUCAUUUAAAUGCCUGUUAAAAUGGAAACAGACAUAGUAUAGUCAGAGGAUUGUGGCAGCUAAGAACAUAGUCUCUGGAGCAAAUCUGCAUGGGUGGCAACGCCAAGCACAUGAGGUCCUAGUUGUAUGAACUUAGAAAAGAAAAAGAGAACAUAUAUCCCCCUACCUUUUGAUUUCCAACAGUCUACUGAGAGGCCAAGAUUAUUUGCAGGGAAAGAAAAGGGGUAAGU
rnacentral:lncRNA from 1 species